rnacentral:rRNA from 1 species
GGCGGGUAAACCUGUCGUAAAUUGUGCGAUUGAACUGCGGGCCAGAAGAACCAGUCCGACCGUUGUGGCACACGUUGUUGCCACUUGCGUGACGGACAAUAACGGUGCUUAUGUGAUUGAGGCUGAGCCGGGGUAUUACGAGGUUGCGCUUCACUGUAACGGCUGGCAGCCAACCCGUGUCGGGGAUAUUGAUGUGGCACCGACUGAUGCACCGGGGACACUGAACGCGUUUCUGAAUGCACCAAAGGAUGGUGAUUUACGUCCGGAGGUGAUGAAGCGCUUUGAGGAAAUGGUGGCGCAGGCGCAGCAGAGUGCCGGGGCUGCAGCCGGAAACGCACAGCAGACGGCGCAGGAUGUGGCGGCAGCCGCAACGGCCCGUGAUGAUGCACAACGUUUUGCGGAGAAAGCCCGACAGGAUGCAACCGUCACAGCUGAGGACAGAAAGGCCACUGCGGAGGAUGUGAC